rnacentral:rRNA from 1 species
AAACGAGAAGACUUUAGAUAUGAUCCAGAGUACCACGGGACACGUGAAACCCUGUGGGAAGCAGGAGGGACCACCCUCCAAGGCUAAAUACUACCUAGUGACCGAUAGCGUAUAGUACCGUGAGGGAAAGGUGAAAAGAACCCCGGGAGGGGAGUGAAAUAGAACCUGAAACCCUGCACUUACAAGCUGUGGAAGCACAUUUCUUGUGUGACCGCGUACUUUUUGUAGAACGGGCCAACGAGUUACGUUAAGUAG